CCUACGGGAGGCAGCAGUGGGGAAUUUUGGACAAUGGGCGCAAGCCUGAUCCAGCAAUGCCGCGUGAGUGAAGAAGGCCUUCGGGUUGUAAAGCUCUUUUGUCAGGGAAGAAACGGUGGGAGCUAAUAUCUCCUGCUAAUGACGGUACCUGAAGAAUAAGCACCGGCUAACUACGUGCCAGCAGCCGCGGUAAUACGUAGGGUGCAAGCGUUAAUCGGAAUUACUGGGCGUAAAGCGUGCGCAGGCGGUUUUGUAAGACUGUCGUGAAAUCCCCGGGCUCAACCUGGGAAUGGCGAUGGUGACUGCAAGGCUAGAGUUUGGCAGAGGGGGGUAGAAUUCCACGUGUAGCAGUGAAAUGCGUAGAUAUGUGGAGGAACACCGAUGGCGAAGGCAGCCCCCUGGGUCAAAACUGACGCUCAUGCACGAAAGCGUGGGGAGCAAACAGGAUUAGAUACCCUGGUAGUCCACGCCCUAAACGAUGUCUACUAGUUGUCGGGUCUUAAUUGACUUGGUAACGCAGCUAACGCGUGAAGUAGACCGCCUGGGGAUCGGCCGCAAGNUUAAAACUCAAAGGAAUUGACCGGNNGAGAGNGCGAGACGACGACGAGGGAGGAGG
rnacentral:rRNA from 1 species